GACUUUCAUUCUCAACUGCGAUUUCCUUAAAUAUUUUGGCAUUGAGCCACAUAACUCGUCUUUGGAUUUUUCCAGUACCUGUAUUUUUUUUUUUUCUGUCCAUAAGUUUAUUGUCUUUAUCUGAAAAAUCCUCAUAGAAAAUUGUUUGGUUUAGCUCUCAGCAGCUCACUCCUGAACUCUGAGGAAGUUUGCCUUCAUUGAGCUACCCAAUCUUUCUUCUGAGCAAGGGACAUUUUGGGACGGUUCCACCUCUUCUUUUUAACUUCUUUCUUGGGCUUCUUUUCAUAGACUAGACUCUCUCAUAUAGCAGCAUGAGCUUUCUCAUACAACUCCUCCAUCAUGUCUGGAGUUACGCUGUUCUUUAUGUAUUGAGAUAACUGUUUCUUGAAGCAUCUUCAUCUUAUUCCGUUAAGUAGCACAUGUAAUCUGAAACAUUCUGGCCCAUGAUGUGCUUCUGGUGUACUUCUGCAUUACAUUUCUUGCUUUCAGAAUCAUAACCAGGGAAUUAUUUAGUACUGUGAGGGACAGACAAGCCUUCAUGCACAGCUCCCUUCAGGGCACCAAAACCUUUAUUGCCAGUGAUAGUUCUGGCAAGACCUGCAUCCUAAUUGCAGGUAAAGGCACCUGGCUGACCAUCAAUGCUUACCACAUUGUAGUUAUCGCCAGUCGCCUCCACUUGGCCUUCAUAGAUCUUGUCCAUGCCAAACCUAUUGAGAAGCCUGCGGGCCAGCAGCAGGCCAGUACAAUACGCUGCAGCAUUAAUUUGUCAGGUCAACCUUCACACUGUAUUUUGGCAGUUUGUGUGCAUAUGCCGUGCAGACUAUCAUAUCUCCCUCUAUACGGGCAUAAGCAAUCUGACAAAUGAUAUCUCUGUUUGUUACACGAACUAUCAUCCUGUAUUUGGGUGUGUUGUAUUUAUUUUUAUCCUGUAUCACCAAACGUUUCUGAGCAUAGUAAUCAGUUUUACCCUCAUCCUGCAGAACAGAGACCCGCGUCUGCGGCUCAACAGAGACCUUACGUGUAUUUUUUUUUCUUUUUGCAUUACUUUAUUCAAGUUUUCUGUCAUUAUGUUUCUCCUAUUCAUAGACAGUUUUUGAGACCUAUUUUGUUUGUACAGCGUUUCAUCAACUAUUACUACUUCUGCAUUAUAAUUACUGUGAUUACUUUUACUGCUAUUAUGACUUCCACAGUAUUACACUUCAGUUGCUGAGUUCUAGUGUAAAAAGCAGCUUCAUUAGUGAGACACGUUUCUGAUCAUGGCUGAGUUCUGAGUGGUUCUAUUUGCUUGUGUGUUUUGUCUGCGCGUUAGUCAGUGGUGCACAUUUAUGACAGUUAUUUUCUUAGUAACUGCUUUUACAGUGAUAUAAUGUGAGAAUUUCCAUAGUGCAUAAUAUUUUUGUUCUAAGUCCAAUAGUAAACUGAGAAUGUCCAAUUUUAAUGGAUUCUGCAAAUGAAAUGAUCCAAAGUGCACCCCUUCCCCAUUGACUGCAAAUGUAUACGUAUUUAUAUUUUAUUGUUUACACAUUCAUAUAAAUAAAAAAGGAAGAUUUGCAUUUUCUUUUUUUUCUUUUUUUUUUUUUGAGACGGAGUCUCUCUCUGUCUCCCAGGCUGGAGUGCUGCGGCG
ensembl:lncRNA